UGAGGAAUAUUGGUCAAUGGACGCAAGUCUGAACCAGCCAAGUAGCGUGCAGGAUGACGGCCCUAUGGGUUGUAAACUGCUUUUAUAUGGGGAUAACGUGGGGAACGUGUUCCCUUUUGCAGGUACCAUAUGAAUAAGGACCGGCUAAUUCCGUUCCAGCAGCCGCGGUAAUACGGAAGGUUCGGGCGUUAUCCGGAUUUAUUGGGUUUAAAGGGAGCGUAGGCCGUUUGGUAAGCGUGUUGUGAAAUGUAGGAGCUCAACUUCUAGAUUGCAGCGCGAACUGUCAGACUGGAGUGCGCGCAACGUAGGCGGAAUUCAUGGUGUAGCGGUGAAAUGCUUAGAUAUCAUGAAGAAUUCCGAUUGCGAAGGCAGCUUACGGGAGCGCAACAGACGCAGAAGCUCGAAGGUGCGGGUAUCGAACAGG
rnacentral:rRNA from 1 species